rnacentral:rRNA from 1 species
UACGUAGGGUCCGAGCGUUGUCCGGAAUUAUUGGGCGUAAAGGGCUCGUAGGCGGUUUGUCGCGUCGGGAGUGAAAACACGGGGCUUAACCCCGUGCCUGCUUCCGAUACGGGCAGACUAGAGGUAGGUAGGGGAGAUCGGAAUUCCUGGUGUAGCGGUGAAAUGCGCAGAUAUCAGGAGGAACACCGGUGGCGAAGGCGGAUCUCUGGGCCUUACCUGACGCUCAGGUGCGAAAGCUAGGGGAGCGAACAGG